rnacentral:rRNA from 1 species
UACGAAGGGUGCAAACGUUGCUCGGAAUUAUUGGGCGUAAAGAGCUCGUAGGCGGUUCGUCGCGUCGGCUGUGAAAACCCGAGGCUCAACCUCGGGCCUGCAGUCGAUACGGGCGGACUGGAGUUCGGCAGGGGAGACUGGAAUUCCUGGUGUAGCGGUGAAAUGCGCAGAUAUCUGGAGGAACACCGGUGGCGAAGGCGGCAUCCUGGACCAACACUGACGCUGAGUGAGCGAAAGCCAGGGGAGCAAACGGG